CCUACGGGUGGCAGCAGUGAGGAAUAUUGGUCAAUGGACGAGAGUCUGAACCAGCCAAGUAGCGUGAAGGAUGACUGCCCUAUGGGUUGUAAACUUCUUUUAUAUGGGAAUAAAAUGUUCCACGUGUGGGAUUUUGUAUGUACCAUAUGAAUAAGGAUCGGCUAACUCCGUGCCAGCAGCCGCGGUAAUACGGAGGAUCCGAGCGUUAUCCGGAUUUAUUGGGUUUAAAGGGAGCGUAGGUGGAUUGUUAAGUCAGUUGUGAAAGUUUGCGGCUCAACCGUAAAAUUGCAGUUGAAACUGGCAGUCUUGAGUACAGUAGAGGUGGGCGGAAUUCGUGGUGUAGCGGUGAAAUGCUUAGAUAUCACGAAGAACUCCGAUUGCGAAGGCAGUUCACUGGACUGCAACUGACACUGAGGCUUGAAAGUGUGGGUAUCAAACAGGAUUAGAUACCCUUGUAGUC
rnacentral:rRNA from 1 species